CAUACUUGGUUCUUUGGUUACUAGGUUUUCAACUUAGCAAGAAAUUUGGGGGCUUUCCUCAUAUAAGGACAUGGAAAUGUUAAAAUUCUUUGCUCUAUCAAGGUUGAUUCUAUGUUGUGGCGAUGUUUAGAGAUUUACCUACUCAUGCAUACUUUGUCAUGUCUUUUUUUGCCAUUCCGAACAGCCGUGAAUGGAGGAAUAAUCUUGCGUAUAUUGCAGGUCAUGUGAGUGUGAGAGGUUCUUUAGGAGCCCUCUCUAGUUUGACCUGUUGGACUGGAAGGCUACCUUCAACUUUACUUGGAAAUCCCAUCAUCCUGAUUACUGCCACUGCCUUCUCGAGACUGUCUCUUCACCUCAGAUAGCAUUCUCUUACGUUCCUGAUUGUACUACUGGGACAUGAUAACUCUCGAUCUAGCUGCUUGCCUAUCCUGGCAUCCCAUAUUAGGAGCAGACUACCAGCUUCCAUAGGAGCUAUUCCUCAAGGCCUCAUGUGUUGGAGACUGAGUGGCCAGCUGAUAUGCUCGGAGGAUGCGAUAGGAUCCUGAGGGCUCUGACCUAAUCAAUGGAUUAAUUCCUUCCUGGAUUCAUAACAUGCUGGCAUUAUUGAGUGUGUUAACUAUUUUUAUCAUUACUGUUAAAAAAAUACUUGACAAAGACAACUGAGGGAAGGAGAGCUCUGUUUUGGCUCACUGUUUGAGGACACAGUCCUUCAUGGCAGAAAAGACCUGCUGUGACGUGGCUGAUCACUUUGCAUCCAGUCGGGGAAGCCGAGAGCUAUGCAGGUUGGGACUCAGAGACACAGAAGAUGAGACCCCUGAUGGUACCACUUACCCCAGGCUUAUUCAGG